rnacentral:rRNA from 1 species
GAUCAUGGCUCAGGAUGAACGCUAGCUACAGGCUUAACACAUGCAAGUCGAGGGGCAGCACGGUCUUAGCUUGCUAAGGCCGAUGGCGACCGGCGCACGGGUGAGUAACACGUAUCCAACCUGCCGUCUACUCUUGGACAGCCUUCUGAAAGGAAGAUUAAUACAAGAUGGCAUCAUGAGUCCGCAUGUUCACAUGAUUAAAGGUAUUCCGGCAGACGAUGGGG